rnacentral:rRNA from 1 species
UACGGGGGGGAGCAAGCGUUGUUUGGAUUUACUGGGCGUAAAGGGCGCGUAGGCGGUCAGCACAAGUCAGUUGUGAAAUCUCCGGGCUUAACUCGGAAAGGUCAACUGAUACUGUGCGACUAGAGUGCAGAAGGGGCAACUGGAAUUCUCGGUGUAGCGGUGAAAUGCGUAGAUAUCGAGAGGAACACCUGCGGCGAAGGCGGGUUGCUGGGCCGACACUGACGCUGAUGCGCGAAAGCCAGGGGAGCGAACGGG